GCCUGCGUGUUGUAGUGGUUAGCAUAUUGACCUCAUAAUUUAGUUGAACCUGAUUACAGGCAGUCGAAGAGCCGAGUUCAAUUCUCGGCGCGGGCA